GAAAAAUAGGAAUGUGUCGGAGGAAAUAAUGAAAAUUAUCGACGAUGAUGCACUAUGAACUUCCUUCAACUGGGCUCUGUUGCUUAUGAAACUGUACUGAAAUCAUUGAAGAGUUGUUUGAAGACAAACGAGAAUGAAGUUGAGAAGGAGAAAGAGAAUGAAAAAGAUUUGGAUAGCUACACUUUAGUUGGCUUUCCUUUGCUUUUUGUGUGUGGAUUAUGGAAGUACUUCCUCUAUUCCAAGAAGAACAAUUUGUGAAAUUCAUAGAAUUGAGUUAUCCUAGAAUGUUCUGUUAUUCUGAUAUGAAGUCUCCACAAUUUGAGUCUCUUUGCAAAAGUAGAAUUGGGUUAUCCUAGAAUGAAGUGCUUCCUCUAUUCCAAGAAGAACAAUUUGUGAAAUUCACAGAAUUGGGUUAUCCUAGAAUGUUAUGUUAUUCUGAUAUGAAGUCUCCACAAUUUGAGCCUCUUUGCAAAAA
rnacentral:lncRNA from 1 species